GCCACCGUGGCUCAGUUCGGUAGAGCAAACGAUUCGUAAUCGUUAGGUCAUGGGUUCGAAUCCCAUCGGUGGCU
rnacentral:tRNA from 1 species